AAACACGAGUAAAAAGUGUUAAAAAAACCCCUACAAAACAUGGCGGAUAUGCGCGAUUGACGCUGAGAGGUGAAGAUCUCCCACAUAAUGACUCCAAAGCUCCAUACAUCACUCUCUGUGGAGAACUUCCUGUACAUGAUGCUCUCCGGAGGCAUCCAGCGAAUGGGCAGCAUGGUGUGACCUCCCACCUAGAAGACAGAUUAGACAUCAAGCAUUUCUCACGAACAUCUUGCGUGCGCUAGUCAGGUGAGGAUGUGAAAUGAUGGGGUGAACAGGAAGUUUCUGGAAGUUACUAAUGUGGAAACAGCUCAACCUGGUCAACUCAAGAAGGUAAUCAACCCAAAGAGGUCUUUAAUUUGAGUUAUUUUGCAACAAGACAUAAUAAUGUGUCUUGUCAUAACAAUGACUUGUGAAAUUUUGUACUUUAUCUGGGUGUGUCCAUGAACAAAAAGAUAACAGAUGGGUUAUACAUACUGUAUUAAAAACAUAUAAAGAAUUAAAGCUGCAAGCAGCGAUGAAAGGGCCCUCGCACCCAUGCCACCGCCACCUGGUGGCUUUAGGAAAACAGAGCAUGGUGGGCAAUAUGCAUUUAGGUAUAUAAAUAUAGGAGGACAAGGUCAGUCAUUUGUAUUUGCCACACUUCCUGCUACCAGCUGGUGAUGAUAUGACUAUAACUAAAUUUGUUUCAUGGCGAAACAUCAAAAUUCAAAAUCAAAAUCAAUUUUGCUUUCAGCAAAAACUCUUGAUCUUCGCAAUUUAACGUCGCAAAGGCCUUAGAUUAGACUGACCAAAUAUGAUGUUGAUUUGAUUAAAUCUCUAGGAGGAGAUUGUUAAAGUACAACA